rnacentral:misc_RNA from 1 species
UGAUGUUUAAGGAUGGUAAUAGGUGAAUGGAGAGGGUUUCUCAUGUUGCCCUUGUGUUUUAUGGUUUUCGUUUUGCAUGUUGUUGCUUUAGCUUUGGGAUUUUCCCUUUGGUAAUGCUGUUGCAGAUCUUGUGGCUUAAAAGAGACGAUUUUGCAUAUCUGUUUCAAUUGUAAGAUCUAGAGCUUUCAUCGCUCUCUAUAAAAGUGUAGGCUUCCUUCUUUUGGUCUGGCAUGGAAUCUAUCAUUUGAUGGGCAACUCGUAUGGGUGCAAUGUAGUAGAUCUGUUCAGAAGGCGCGAAUGGGACACCAAAGAGACCCAUCGCCAAGGUUCUAUGCUUGCUCUGGUGCCGAUGCAAAGUUUCAGUGGUGUUUGUCUCCUUGGCCUGGGAUCUUCGUUGAUUCCCUGUCCCCUUGACAUUGCUGAGAAGAAUGUGAUAGUGGGACUCCCUUGUUCCUCAAUGGUUUUUAAGUCUUUAUAGCAUCAAUAGAUAGGAGAUCCACUAGUUUCGUCGCCACACAUGGCUGUGGGUGUCUUCUCCAAUGACAGACAGUGAAAUGGGCCAGCGACGAGAUGAUAGCUGUUUUCUUCUAGUGUCGGGCCAAGGUUUCGAGUGAUUAGGAAUGGUGAAGGGUCGGGAUUUUGUAGAUACUGAGUCACCGAAUCGAGUUUAGA